CGUGAACCCGGCAUUCGGGUUCCCGGACGAGGGAGCCGUACCCGGACGCGCGACAAGACGGCCACGGA
rnacentral:ncRNA from 1 species